AUUUCGUCAGCCUAAAACUAACGAGCUGUUUUACCAUCUCCUCCUAAAAUAAAACUCCUCCGUUUAUAAUAUUGCAGUUAUGAUAUACCCUAUUCUUAAAACAUCCAAUCCUCAUACCGUUUCUCUCUCUCAUUCUCAUCCCUUCUAUCAAUUCAAUUGGGAGAAAGCUUCUCCUCAAUAUAUAUAGCUGGUUAGGGAUUGCAGAUUUGAUAAUUAUUGGACCUGGAGGUGAGGAAUUUCUGCGAAUUUGAUCGAUAUGUCUUUCUAUCUUUAUUUUUGUUUCCUUAUGUUGAUUAUGUCUCUAUUUUUCUUUCGAAAAUUCUGAUUUUAUUAACAAUUCUAUAAGCUUUGGUUCCAAUUCCAAUUUCGUGUGAAUUUCUUUUUAACGCUAUCUUUUUUCCUCAAUUGUGACUGCCAGUUUCGGAAUUUAGGGUUUCGGAAUUCAAUUUCAAUUCAAUUAAGGUGCAGCUUAAAUUCAAAUACUCUACAAGUUCCACUUUUGGAAUUUGGUACUGCGGACUGGGCUUUGCUCCAGAGUCCAGACUUCUGAGGUUUUCAGUUGCUGCUCUUGGGUGCCUUAUUCUCGCGUGCCUUCUAGUUUGCUUCAGGAGUUAUCGGACUUGGCAAGCCAACAACAAAGGAUCUCGAAAGUCUCUAAGAUGGAAAUAAAUUAUAUGUUCUUGCGAAUCGGAAAUGCUUGAAUGUGGCUAUUACGUCAUGAACUACAUGAUCAAAUAGUUUUACUUGGAUUACAAAGUAUUAGUAAUGUGGAAGAGAUAUUUUCUCCAAACCCGUACACUCAAGAGGAGAUCGAUGAUGUUCGAGAAAACUGGAGUAGAUAUUUUAUUAGUAGUUGUUUGUAGUCAUUUUCUAGUUUUCAAAGAUAGAAAUUAAAAUAUAACAAAUUGUAGCUUAUUUUUUGAAAUACAAUUAUUUACAAUUGUUGAACAAACUUUCUUGUUUGAAUUAAUACAAAAAUAUUUUCGCAAUU